rnacentral:sRNA from 1 species
UGAUGAUUCUAUGGGGUAGUUCUCAUUCUGUUCAGAUAUUUUAAAACCAGAAUAAUGUGUUAAACACAUUAUUUCUUGAGGUUCAAGGGUGUGUAGAACCAGUAGCAUUAGUUCAUAAGCAUUGGGCCUAUUGUGUAAGCUGUUGAUUCAUUUAAAAGUAACAAAAAUUAAUCCAAUUGGUACCCAAAAUAAUAUACCGGUAGUGUGAAGUAUUUGUGUGUCUGAUUUUGAAUUACAAGAUGUACUUGUGAAUAUGUUUGACUGCAGAAACAAGAGUGUAAAAAUGGAAAUUUUGUGUUCAUUCAUUCCUAUCUGUGGCUGAAUUUUUGCAAAUGUUUAGAUUUAUGGAAGAGAACUCUGCUACAGUACAUAAGAGUUAUGAUCUUUUUUGCUUGAUAACAAAAUUUGUACAUACAUGUAUAUUUGAGCAACCAUUUGCUGUAGAUUUUCAUUAUGACAAACAAUUCAGAAAUUUUAAAUGGAAUAUUAAAAAAAAUUAUCUAUUUCUUUUUUACCCUGAAAUUUGAUAAUUAUGCAAUCUGUAUACUUUUGAAAAUGUCGUUCAGUAUGGAUGUUGAGUGUUUCUAAUGAACACAGAUGC